rnacentral:rRNA from 1 species
GACGAACGCUGGCGGCGUGCCUAAUACAUGCAAGUCGAACGCAGUGGGGACGGGUGAGUAACACGUGGGUAACCUCCCAUCAGAGGGGAUAACACUUGGAAACAGGUGCUAAACCGAUAUUGCUGACUGGACCCUCGGUGCAUUAGCUAGUUGGUGAGGUAACGGCUCACCAAGGCCACGAUGCAUAGCCGACCUUAGAGGGUGAGUGGCCACACUGGGACUGAGACACGGCACAUACUCCGACGGGAGGCACCAGUAGGGAAUCUUCGGCAAUGGACGAAAGUCUGACCGAGCAACGCCGCGUGAGUGAAGAAGGUUUUCGGAUCGGAAAACGCUGUUGUUAGAGAAGCGGUAUAUAACCAGAAGGCCACUGCUAACUACGUGCCAGCAGCCGCGGUAAUAC